rnacentral:piRNA from 1 species
UAAUUCCGUAACUGUAUGAUG